AACUUUUAACGGUGGAUCUCUUGGCUCGUGCAUCGAUGAAGAACGCAGCCAGGUGCGAUAAGUAGUGUGAAUUGCAGAAUUCAGUGAAUCAUCGAAUCUUGAACGCAAAUGGCGCUCUUGG
rfam:Nematostella vectensis strain CH2 x CH6 NEMVEscaffold_310_Cont23313, whole genome shotgun sequence.